ACUGGAAAAAGGACAAGAAAGUCACUAGUACAAGAUAAUAUCUAGCUCCUCGCACCCCAUUAUUUUCAACCCGAGAAACACGCACAUAUAUGUCGAUUAGUCCAAUUCCGAGGCUUCUUGGAUUCUUCUUUGACCUCGCAUGAAUCAAGUGCGCACUUAGGAUCGCGAUGGAGAUUUUUGACGGUCCCGACGUUCAAGGGUAGAUCCUCUCUCGAUCACAUCUGAUAAUCACUUGGAUCGAAUCGGGUUAUGUGUUGGCAAACCCCAAUAGGUUAAGGAGAAAGUACAUACACAAACCCACGGCGGCGACAAAGAGGAGGAACAAACAAAGACGGAUGGCGAAGGCGUCUUCUACUACAUCUUCCUCGAGGCGGCGCCGGCCACGACCGUGACGUGGGCGUAUUCGCCGCCUUCCGAGCGCCAUGUCCCUGCGCAGGUCCCCUUGCAUUUCUUUCGCUUCCUUUACUUCAAACCCAAAAAACAAGAACACCCACAGAGGAGAGAAAUUGGAAGGAUGUUGAAGCUUGUUCAAGAAACGGCUUCUCUUCUACAAUUUUUCUUUCCUGUAUUUGAGGGUUCU
rnacentral:lncRNA from 1 species